GCCAGCAGCCAUAUCACCCUGCAGCCCAAGACUGGUCGUCCACUGAAGCUAAGCAGGGUUGAGCCUAGUCAGUACCUGGAUGGGAGACCUCCUGAGAAAACUAGGUUGCUGCUGGAA
rnacentral:rRNA from 1 species